CUGGGAAGUGGAAGGCUGAGGGAGAGACACUGCCAGCCGCCGCCAUGACAAGCCGCAUGUGAAGAUCCCGAACCAUCUGUAGAGGAGUGGCAUCAUCCACCAAGGGUUGAGUCCUUCCAUAUCUAUCACUAAUUAAGAAAUGCUAUCUACACAUUCCUACAGGCUGGUCUGAUGGUGGCAAUUCCUCAACUGAGAUUCCCUCUUUCUCAGUGGCUUUUUAAUAGGAUUUCCCCAAAAGAAUGAAGAAGCAACGGUGUUCCACUUUCAAAUGGAAGCAUCAAGAGGCCUUGAAUGUUUCUUCACUCACCCCUUGAACUGUGUCACUAUCACAUGGGAAAAACCUGGCCAAACAUAGUCCAUAACAAGAAAGAUGUCCCAGUCUCGUCAUCAUCCUCAACCAUCAAUCACCAAAUAAUGAAUGAGAUCCUUCCAAGUCAUCAGAAUCGCUGAUGGGGGAUGCAUGGCUGGACCAUCUGAGAUCAGCCACUCACCUGACACAUGGGUUCAUGAACAGCGUCUCAGCAUUAUCCCAGGUCACCACAUUCUGGGGAUGGUUUGUUACAUAGAACAGAAGUGGUACAACAAAAGUUAAGUCACUAGGAGAAGGUGACUCCAUGAAUCUUCAAACAUGCAUAAUAAAAGAAGGAUUUUCACCCACAGAAAGGCAUUUCUAAGAAAGCUGAUGUUGGAGUCUCCAAGGGGAAGGGCUGACUGGAGGUGGCAGAGCUAUUUUGCUGCUUAGGUCACAGUAGUAGUGGAGCCUCACUUGGGUGCCAGUUUGAGCUCUAUGACCACCAUCAGUGACAUCCUACUGGUUGGUCCCUGGGCUGCUGUGCUUUGGCUUGUAAGGGAAGCAGAGGCCUGCAAAGUCCACCCCCACACCACUUGUUAGCUGAUAUGCUCAUCUCAUUCAGAAGGCCUGGCGUUUGCUAGGUUGAUGCACAGAUCCUUGUUUUUAAAGGCAAUUGAGGCAGCCAGACAAGAAAUCAGGCCAGGAAGAUUCUGUGCAGUGACCUUGGCUGUACCAUGAGAUGUUGCUUUACUCAUGAGGUCAUGUGGUCAGAAACGUCCAAAGGAAACUCCCUGCCCCCUCCUUAGGAACCUUUUAAGAGAAGGAGAUCAAGAAUAAAUUCCACAGUUUUAUCUUUCAUAAGCAUUUCUGUUCAGUCACACAGAAGCCUUGAAGAAAUAAUUUUGCCCUAGGCAACAGGUUACAUCAACGAUAUAUAAUGUUCACCUACCAUGAAGGAGAUUGUGUAACAUUUGACAGAACAUUCCAUUUUUUUUUAAAAAGAAAACAUCACCAAGAGAUGAAUUCUGUCUCUGAAAAUAUGACUAGCAUUGACAAUUAGUACCAUCUGUGCCAAAGAGGCACAGAAAAGAUUCACUUUUUAUGCACUAGAAUGUUGAGCAUACUAAUAAAUGAAGAUAUAAUUAUGAAAUCUGUUUGUAAAACUGAUAUUUCUACAAAGAAAACUUAAUGGCAUAUUAAUUAUCUGUGAUUUUGUUGUAUUGGUGGAAGAAAACAUCUUCUUUUUCUAUUUUUUAAAAUGCAAAUAGAUUGGCCGGCACAAAUCACCCAGCUUCAUUCACCUCUAUUGUA